CUGGCUGUAGGCCUGUGUAGGUGCUGUCGAAAUGGGCAAGUUCAUGAAGCCCGGGAAGGUGGUGCUGGUCCUAGUCGGACAUUAUUCCGGAUGCAAAGCCGUCAUCGUGAAGAACAUUGAUGAUGGCACCUCAGACCGCCCCUACAGCCAUGCCCUUGUGGCUGGAAUUGACCGCUAUCCCCACAAAGUGACAGCUGCAAUGGGCCACAAGAAGAUUGCCAAGAGGCCAAAGAUCAAAUCUUUUGUGAAAGUUUAUAACUACAAUCACCUCAUGCCCACAAGGUACUCUGUGGAUAUCCCCUUGGGCAAAACCGUUGUCAACAAGGACGUCUUCAGAGACCCUGCUCUUAAACGCAAGGCCCGAUGGGAAGCCAAGGUCAAGUUCGAAGAGAGGUACAAGACAGGCAAGAACAAAGAUAGUCCUUUGCCUAAGGGCGUAGAAUACAUCAACACUGGCCAUGUUUCUGACACAGCUGCAUUCAGCACAUUCAUUUACCUGCCAAAAGUCCUACAGACACCAACAAAACUCAGCGGACUCCUCCUUCCCUCAGAGGAAUGCUCCAUUCCGGGCCUGAAAUUACAAGCUCUGCGACUCCUCUGGUGA